rnacentral:rRNA from 1 species
UACGAAGGGGGCUAGCGUUGCUCGGAAUCACUGGGCGUAAAGGGUGCGUAGGCGGGGCUUUAAGUCAGGGGUGAAAUCCUGGAGCUCAACUCCAGAACUGCCUUUGAUACUGAAGAUCUUGAGUUCGGGAGAGGUGAGUGGAACUGCGAGUGUAGAGGUGAAAUUCGUAGAUAUUCGCAAGAACACCAGUGGCGAAGGCGGGUCUCUGGGCCGAUACUGACGCUGAGGAGCGAAAGCGUGGGGAGCGAACAGG